UGGGGUCAUGUUAUAAGUCAACUAACAAAAAAGAUAAAUCUAAUUAGGGAUAGAUUGGACUAACUAAAAUAUAUAGUUUGAGGGAGUAAAGUGAGCCUAAAUUUUAUACAUGAGGUGAAGCAAAAAAUGUGGAUCAGUAGGGGAGUAAAAUCGACUUUUUUUCUUGAAUUAACAAAUAAAUGAACAAUAGCAUUAUUCAAGUUUUCGGUAAAAAAAAUAGCAUUAUUCGAGUUUACAAUUGCUUGAUUUCGAACCGGUAGCUGGACAAGGCUUUCCCCCUUAAUUAGCUACCUAUAUCUUUUUUUCACGAAAAAUUUAGCUACCUAUAUCUAGCUAGUUCUAAAAUAUGUUAUAGCACUCGCGUUUUUUAAGUGUGCAAAGGAGAAUGCACAUGUGACGGCCAUGCAUUUCCUCCUAUAUCCAGUUAU
rnacentral:lncRNA from 1 species